rnacentral:lncRNA from 1 species
AUUUAGUACUGGUAGGAGAAGGACGACGAAAUGAUGGCGACCGCCGCAGAAGAAAUAUUUCAAAGCCCAUGUCCCAUUUCUGAGCGCCAUGUCACGACUAUGUCCAUCAAAAUUACGCGGAAAAACCAGGAUAAACCCUGGAAAUUGAGAUUAAUUUACCUGCAGUGCUAUUUUAUGUCAAUUGCAACCAUACUGGGAACUGGAAUCUUAGGACUUCCUGUCACAAUAGCACAUGCAGGACUCAUGCCUUUCCUGGUCUCCUUUAUAAUUGGUUUCUUUGUGCAGGCUCUCCUCAUAUACCUCUUUGUUGACCUGCUCCAGCGAUGCCAAGUUGUCCAGAUUGAGUCAUUGAAGACUACUGAGACAGAGCGAAUUCUAAUGCAAGACGUUGGAUUGGAGGAGCCUGCUCUCACUAAUACAGAGGAGGAAGAAGAGGAGGUGGAGGAUGGGGAAGAAGCAGUCUGAACAUCCAGGAACCAACCACAGUUCGGUAAAGGAGUUGAUUUGCCCACAUGUAGUGCUGCAUUGCAUUCUGCUUUGUCAGUCAUGGGCUUAUCUCCAGGGGUUUCCGGACCUCACCAUCACAUAAUGCUUGUUAAUCGUGCCCAGCUGUUGGAAAUUGGUGCGGAUCCAGAUUGUUUGAUACUCUCCUUUGAGAUUGCAUUUCUGCUGUGAAGCCCAAAUAACAUUAGUGAAAAUGACAUUUUCAUAAACAGUAUUCUGCAAGUGGAGGAAUAUCCUGACUUGCGUCAUCAUUAACCUACCUAGUAGGAUAGCAGUUUUCUCUGAUCCCAGAUGUUAGCUGAGAUUCUCCCUUUAACAAUCAGUCUAAUAGUGUUAAAUGUAAC